GUAGGCAGUCUCACUAGAGUCCUCAACUUAAUGUAGCAACUAGUGACAGGGGUUGCGCUCGUUGCAGGACUUAACCUAACACCUCACGGCACGAGCUGACGACAACCAUGCAGCACCUGGAAGCGGCCCGAAGGAGAGCCUAUUUCUAAGCCUGUCCACUCCCAUUUAAGUCUUGGUAAGGUUCCUCGCGUAUCAUCGAAUUAAACCACAUAAUCCACCGCUUGUGCGGGCCCCCGUCAAUUCCUUUGAGUUUCAUUCUUGCGAACGUACUCCCCAGGUGGCUAACUUAUCACUUUCGCUUUUUCUCUGAAGCCGAAACCCCAAAAACGAGUUAGCAUCGUUUACGGCGUGGACUACCAGGGUAUCUAAUCCUGUUCGCUCCCCACGUCUUUCGUCCAUCAGCGUCAGUUAAAUCUUAGUGACCUGCCUUCGCAAUUGGGUUCUAAGUAAUAUCUAUGCAUUCACCGCUACACUACUUAUUCCAGGCCACUUCAAAUUUACUCAAGGACCUGCAGUAUCAAUGGCAGUUUCACAGUUAAGCUGUGAGAUUUCACCACUGACUUACAGAUCCGCCUACGGACCCUUUAAACCCAAUAAAUCCGGAUAACGCUUGCACCCUCCGUAUUACCGCGGCUGCUGGCACGGAGUUAGCCGGUGCUUAUUCGUAUAGUACCUUCAGCUACUCUCACGAGAGUAGGUUUAUCCCUAUACAAAAGAAGUUUACAACCCAUAGGGCCGUCGUCCUUCACGCGGGAUGGCUGGAUCAGGCGCUAACCCAUUGUCCAAUAUUCCUCACUGCUUGCCUCCCGUAGGGAGUCGGGUCCGUGUCUCAGGUACCAGUGUUGGUGGG
rnacentral:rRNA from 1 species